rnacentral:lncRNA from 1 species
CCUCUAUUCAACUCACAGAGGUGAACUGUCCUUUAGACAGAGCAGAUGUGAAACCCUCUUUUUGUGAUAUUUGCAGGUGGAGAUUUCAAGCGCUUUUAGGCCAAAUGUAGAAAAGGAAAUAUCUUCGUAUAAAAACUAGACAGAAUCAUUCUCAGAAACUACUUUGUGAUGUGUGCGUUCAAUUCACAGAGUAUAACCUUUCUUUUGAUGGAGGAGUUUGGAGACACUGUCUUUGUAAAGUCUGCAAGUGGAUAUUUGGACCUCUUUGAGGCCUUCGUUGGAAACGGGAUUUCCUCAUAUAAUGUUACACAGAAGAAUUCUCAGUAACUUAUUUGUGGUGUGUGUAUUCAACUCACAGAGUUGAACCUUCCUUCAGAAAGAGCAGAUUUGAAACACUCUUUUUGUGGAGUUUCCAUGUGGAGAUUUCAAUCGCUUUGAGACCAAAGGUAGAAAAGGAAACAUCUUCGUAUAAAAACUAGACAGAAUCAUUCACAGAAACUACUUUGUGAUGUGUGUGUUCAACUCACAGAGUUUAACCUUUCUUUUGAUGCAGUAGUUUGGAAACACUCUGUUUGUCACGUCUGCAAGUGGAUAUUUGGACCUCUUUGAGGCCUUCGUUGGAAAAGGGAUUUCUUCAUAUAAUGUUAGACAGAAGAAGUCUCAGUAACUUCUUUGUGCUGUGUGUAUUCAACUCACAGAGCUGAACUUUACUUUAGACAGAGCGGAUGUUAAACACACUUUUUGUGGAAUUUGCAGCUGGAGAUUUCUAGCGCUUUGAGGCCUAUGGUAGAAAAGGAAACAUCUUCUUAUAAAAUC